rnacentral:rRNA from 1 species
AGUGAACGCUGGCGGUAGGCCUAACACAUGCAAGUCGAACGGCAGCACAGUAAGAGCUUGCUCUUACGGGUGGCGAGUGGCGGACGGGUGAGGAAUACAUCGGAAUCUACUUUUUCGUGGGGGAUAACGUAGGGAAACUUACGCUAAUACCGCAUACGACCUACGGGUGAAAGCAGGGGAUCUUCGGACCUUGCGCGAUUGAAUGAGCCGAUGUCGGAUUAGCUAGUUGGCGGGGUAAAGGCCCACCAAGGCGACGAUCCGUAGCUGGCCUGAGAGGAUGACCGGCCACACUGGAACUGAGACACGGUCCAGACUCCUACGGGAGGCAGCAGUGGGGAAUAUUGGACAAUGGGCGCAAGCCUGACCCAGCCAUACCGCGUGGGUGAAGAAGGCCUUCGGGUUGUAAAACCCUUUUGUUGGGAAAGAAAAGCAGCAGGUUAAUACCCCGCUAUUCUGACGGUACCCAAAGAAUAAGCACCGGCUAACUUCGUG